CUCCGGCGCUGUGGCCUCCUUCCUCUACUGACAGCUGGGGGCUUUGUUUUCUCCACCCACCCGGCCGGUCGCGCUCCACCCCCACCGCCACACGUGACUCACCGUCUGCCACCGCCGCCGCUCGGCUUGUCCACCCCGGGAGAGCGCAGCCAGCGCCACCGUUCCUUUCGGGGGGUGCGGGGUGGAGACCCCAGCCGAGGAGAGGUCCAGGGUCACCUUAUGAUUUAGCCAAGGUCAGCUGACUUCAGGCAUUGAUCAUCUAAGCUCUUCUGUGACGCAGGAGCCGGGGAAAAGCUCCCAUCUUGAUUAUACCCCGAGGACACACCAACCACUGAUAAGUAAGGUUUCAUCAACACAAGAAACUUUGCUAAUUUUGCUGACAUUGAUGGUCAUUCUCCACUUGAAGAGUGAAUAUGUGUCUAUGAAGGAUGAAAUAUUUCAAUGAGCUCAAGUCCUGUGUUUUCCCGCAUCAUUGUCUGAAUUAUGCUUUUGACAAAGAAAUUUCUUGUUUUCAAGGCAAUGUUGAAAUGUAGCCUAAUGAGUAAAAAGCAGUCCAUAAAUAAGUGGAAGAAAGUACUCAUAUCAAUGUAAAAAAAUAAAAUCAUGUUUUUCAACA